rnacentral:rRNA from 1 species
AGAGUUAAGAUCAUGGCUCAGGAUAAACGCUGGCGGCGUGCAUGAGACAUGCAAGUCGAACGAACGACCUCGGGCUUGCCUGGGGAAGUUAGUGGCGGACGGCUGAGUAACGCGUGGGUGACCUGCCCGGAAGUGGGGAAUAACUGCCCGAAAGGGUGGCUAAUACCGCAUGUGGUCACACGUUCGAUCGUGUGACCAAAGCAGCAAUGCGCUUCCGGAGGGGCCUGCGUUCGAUUAGCUCGUUGGUGAGGUAACGGCUCACCAAGGCGACGAUCGAUAGGUGGUCUGAGAGGACGAUCACCCAGACUGGGACUGAGACACGGCCCAGACUCCUACGGGAGGCAGCAGUAGGGAAUCUUCGGCAAUGGGCGAAAGCCUGACCGAGCAACGCCGCGUGAGCGAUGAAGGCCUUCGGGUCGUAAAGCUCUGUUGUUAGAGAAGAACAAGUACGAGAGUAACUGCUCGUACCUUGACGGUACCUAACCAGAAAGCCACGGCUAACUACGUGCCAGCAGCCGCGGUAAUACGUAGGUGGCAAGCGUUAUCCGGAAUUAUUGGGCGUAAAGCGCGCGCAGGCGGUCUCUUAAGUCUGAUGUGAAAGCCCACGGCUCAACCGUGGAGGGUCAUUGGAAACUGGGAGACUUGAGUGCAGGAGAGAAAAGUGGAAUUCCACGUGUAGCGGUGAAAUGCGUAGAGAUGUGGAGGAACACCAGUGGCGAAGGCGGCUUUUUGGCCUGUAACUGACGCUGAGGCGCGAAAGCGUGGGUAGCAAACAGGAUUAGAUACCCUGGUAGUCCACACCGUAAACGAUGAAUGCCAGUCGUCGGGCAGUAUACUGUUCGGUGACACACCUAACGGAUUAAACAUUCCGCCUGGGGGAGUACGGUCGCUAGUAUUAAAACCUCAGAGGGAAUUUGACGGGGGAGCCCGCCCCAAGCCGGUGGG